GUCUUCUUCACAUUGUAACAAGAAAAUCUGUUUUGUAACUACUGGUCUGAGAUAGAAUUAUUUAGCGUUGUGGUGGAACACUGUCUAAGUUUUACUUGGCUCCCUGCCAAGUCCCAGACCCAGCACCAAAAUACCCCCAGCUCAGUGCUAAGAAAAAAACUAUGAAAAAAUCCCGACUAUCCAAACUUAUAUGAAAAUAAAUGUAUUUACGUAUAUUACAGAUGAAAUACUAUAUACAGUUUCCGAAAGAAAGAGGGAAAGGGAAGGAGGAAGGGGAAAAGGAACAAAACCAAAAUAAAAUAUACACCGUCAAAAGCUCAAAAUCUAGCAACUAAAGAAUUAGCAAAGGAAUAUCUUAGUACUCUCCUUGGGACAACAGGAGUCGUGCUGGAACGAACGCCGGCAACCUCCGCUUCCCAAAGUUGGCCAGGCCUUACCAGGCCUCACUCCCCAACACGGCAGAUUUGGAUAGUAGAGACACUUGUAGCCCUUCAAACACACAACCAAAAAAGCCCCCACAUCUGACCUACUUCCCUGUUCUAAAUACUGUCGUUUGGCUUGGAGUUUGGAUUAGAGAUUUCCAAGAACUAAUUAUAUCCAAUGUGACCAGUAUAUGUUUUUUUCUGAGGCUGUUACUACACAAAGAGCACCCUGGAGAGGUGCCUUGGACUCAAUUUGGACACCUGUCCCUCCGCAGUGAAUUUCAGAAGCACAGCAAGAAAUUCUUCUUCCCAAUGCAUAGAACUUAUCUCGAGAAAGCCACCAUCCACUUGCAGGUUCAGAUGCAAAGCAGACGCAAGCAAGAACAAAGGCUCUUUCCACAGUGGUGUCCUCUCUCUGUGUGUUGGAUCUGGUGCUUCCUGGGCUCUUUCAGGAUCACAAAGAUCAGGAACAAGCAGGAACUUGAUCCAAGAUCCAGCCCUUUCAGGAAACAAAAGCAGCCACAGGAGAACAGUUUUGGUGACCAGACUGUGUUGAAACAUGAGAAAGUCCCAGUUCUGGAUUAACCAUGCUGCAGGUGUUACGGACACAGGAUCAAGGAGGAAGCUGGGGAACAAAACAUCAAUAGCAUAGGAUCAUUAUUAUUAAGGAGUCAUACAUUAAGACCAAAAAGUUACAGAGAAAUGUGUUCAGACAAGACAGUCCUACCAUUGCAUUAUUUGGAAUCUAAAUCUCUCCUGUUUCUUUGAUCUCCAUGGGAAGGGAUACAAAGGACAGGGCUAGAAAAUUAAGAGAGUAAAAUCUUCAGAAGAAGCAAGCAAAGAAAACAUCUUCCACGACAUUUUCGUGUUGUUUUUCUUUUCUGUGUAAUUCUAAAACCCCAAAAGGUUUGUAAUGUGGCAGUGUAAAUUGAAGGGGAAUGAAAUAAAUAUAUAUAUAUAUAUAUUUAUACA
rnacentral:lncRNA from 1 species